AUGAAGUUGGAAUCGCUAGUAAUCGCGGAUCAGCAUGCCGCGGUGAAUACGUUCCCGGGCCUUGUACACACCGCCCGUCACACCAUGAGAGUCGGGAACACCCGAAGUCCGUAGCCUAACCGCAAGGGGGGCGCGGCCGAAGGUGGGUUCGAUAAUUGGGGUGAAGUCGUAACAAGGUAAC
rnacentral:rRNA from 1 species